AGCACUGUCAAGACCUCAAUGUCAUCAGCAGCCUGCUCAAGUCCUUCUUUUGAAAGCUGCCUGAGCCUCUUUUCACUGAUGACAAAUACAACGACUUCAUCGAGGCCAAUCGCAUCGAGGACUCGAGGGAGCGGAUGAAGACGCUGAGGAAGCUGGUGAGGAGAGAUGCUGUCAAGCAAAGUGUGGAGUGGACGGCAGAGCACCCCUGUCCCCAGAGGCCCAGAGUACGGUGCCACCAAUUUCCCCUCUGCCCCUCACCUGAUGAUGCCCGGGGUCUCACCUUGCUUCUCAUGCUACCACCCUGGGAGAGCUCAACCAGCUGUUGCAACUCCAUCUCUAGGCUUGGAUACCCAAUUGCCACCUGCAUGUCCUUUGUGUGCCUCAAAAGCUGCAUGUCCGAAAUCAAAUUUGUCUUCUCCCUCUUCCCUUCCCCAUCUCAGCAUCACCUCUGUUGCUGAAAUAGAGACCUGGAGUCACCCUUGA